AGCGAAGGCUAAGGAGGUUAUGGCCAUAUGCCUUUAGCUGGCAUUCAGGCUUUGGGUAACUAAUAGCACUGGUUAGUCAAGCCUACUGAAUACUAUGGGACUGGCAUGAUGUCUGGUAAGACCUAACCAUAAAAUUCUAGUAUACCAGGGCAAGCUAGGAGGCCACAUCCAGUCAAAAAUUGCUUCUCACCCUUCACUGCGAGAAGGUAAGGCAGUGCCCACGGAGCCCAUUGAAACAGAGCUGGAGGAAAGGCUGAUUAAGACAUGAGCGAGGAAACUCUGCUCAUGAGGCAUUCCCUGCAAGGGCGCUGAUGGGAUGUCUACCCAUGAACCCUACAGCAGCAGCAGCCUCCUUCCCUGGACCUCUGGAGACACUGGGAGAAUUUCCUCUUCAGCUAUUUUCAGGCAGCAUCUGCGUCUCUCACCAGCCAUGGAUGCCACAAGGCAUGGUGCCAAAAUAUCAGCAGCUUGGCAGCUUCUCUACAUGGACUCAAGAAAUAUAUUCUGGAUUAGCUGUGCCAUCUGCCUCUCACAGGUGUUCAUCUGGGAGGACGGGGGAGGAGAAGGGCACCUGAGGGCACCAGCAUUGAACGGAAAGUGUU